GGGUAUCUGCUUCGUGUCGUAAGUAGGGUUUAAAACCAGCCCCCCAUUUCCCACUCAGCGGCUGUGGCGGCGGCAACAACUCAAAGACUCUCGCAGGGAUCUCGAUGGCGUUGCAAAUUUCCUCGUCCAUCUCUUCCAGUUCUUCUUCCUUUUUGGGCUACAGCGGCUUCGGCGUCAGCAGACCAACGAAGGCUUCUCUUCCAGCGUCGAGAAGCCAUGGGGUUUUCAAGUGCGUCAUUACUCCCCCCGAGCAGACAGCUUACAAGACAAAGGUUUCUCGAAAUGCAAACAUGGCAAAACUUCAAGCUGGUUAUCUCUUUCCGGAGGUUGCUAGAAGAAGAUCAGCACACAUGUUGAAGUACCCUGAUGCUGAGGUUAUAAGCCUUGGUAUCGGUGACACUACCGAGCCUAUUCCAGAAGUUAUAUCCUCUGCCAUGGCAAUGAGGUCACAUUCUUUAUCAACAAUUGAGGGUUACAGUGGCUAUGGAGCCGAACAAGGUGACAAGAACCUAAGAGCUGCUCUAGCCUCAACCUUUUAUGGAGACCUUGGUAUUGAACAAACUGAUAUAUUUGUCUCAGAUGGUGCAAAGUGUGACAUCUCUCGUCUUCAGCUGCUUUUUGGAUCCAAUGUGAUGAUGGCAGUGCAAGAUCCAUCAUACCCUGCAUAUGUUGAUUCAAGUGUUAUUAUGGGGCAAACUGGCUUAUUCCAGAAGAAUAUUGAGAAGUUUGGAAACAUUGAGUACAUGAGAUGCACACCUGAGAAUGGGUUUUUCCCUGAUUUAUCAACUGUUUCAAAAACAGAUAUUAUCUUCUUUUGUUCACCAAACAAUCCAACUGGUUCUGCGGCAUCCAGAGACCAGCUAACGCAGCUAGUGCAGUUUGCAAAGGAAAAUGGGUCUAUCAUAGUUUAUGAUUCUGCUUAUGCCAUGUAUAUUUCAGAUGACAGCCCGCGAUCUAUCUUUGAGAUUCCGGGUGCAAAAGAGGUUGCGAUUGAAACAUCAUCUUUUUCUAAAUAUGCUGGGUUUACUGGUGUUCGUCUUGGUUGGACUGUGGUCCCCAAGGAGUUACUUUUCUCUGAUGGAUUUCCUGUUGCCAAGGAUUUCAAUCGUAUAGUUUGCACUUGCUUUAAUGGUGCAUCCAACAUUUCUCAAGCUGGGGGUCUAGCUUGUCUUUCUUCUGAAGGUUUAAAGGCCAUGAAGGAUGUGAUCAGAUUCUAUAAAGAAAAUUCUGAAAUAAUUGUCGAUACAUUUACUUCACUUGGUUUCCAUGUAUAUGGUGGGAAGAAUGCUCCCUAUGUUUGGGUGCACUUUCCAGGUCGAAGCUCAUGGGAUGUGUUUGCUGAGAUUCUUGAGAAGACACACCUGGUUACAACUCCUGGCAGCGGGUUUGGACCUGGGGGCGAGGGCUUCAUCAGGGUCAGUGCCUUCGGUCAUAGAGGAAAUGUUCUGGAAGCUUGCACAAGACUGAAACAGCUGUACAAGUGAGCAAGAGUAGCCUUCCAAGGCCCCAUGCAGCUGUUGCCGUUCUACAGGAUUUCUGCAAUUUCCUGAAGUUGUCACUUGGCUUGUAGGCAACAAGUUUCAGCUGCUUCUUUUUGGGAAUCACCAUUAAUCAAAGAACAUUUCAACUUCCGCAGGCCAGUCGAGAAAGUCUUUAUGAUCGUUGAAAUCCCUGAAAUCUACCUUCAUGCAAGCCCUGAAAUCUACCUUCAUGGGAUCGUCAUGAUCUUGAUGUCGCUUGUGUGUAGCAUCUUUUUGAAGGAUAAUUUGAUCCACUUCACUCUUACCAUCCUAUCGCAAGGCACCAUAGUUGGCUGUGUGUUGCAUGUUCUCAAGGUUGAUUUAGUCUGCCUACCAUCUUGGACUGAUUUUUGAAGUGCUUCAAUUGAUGCUUGGAACAUGUCUUGUGUCAAGUACCGAUUAGCCUGAAUAUCACCCACAUUGCCUGUCAAA